ensembl:ncRNA C51E3.12 ncRNA
AGAAGAAGAUGUGCUUGGAUCUGUGUAUGCCCCCGAUUCAUCAUCAUCAGGAGCCCUUCGUGUUUUUCGACAAAAUACUCAAAUGAGAUGAACCGGGAAAUUUGAAGGGAAGUGAGAAAGAUCUUU